rnacentral:rRNA from 1 species
AGCAGCCGCGGUAAUUCCAGCUCCAAUAGCGUAUAUUAAAGUUGUUGCAGUUAAAAAGCUCGUAGUUGAACCUUAGGCCCGUCCGAGCGGUCCGUCCUCUGGGCGAGCACUGCUUCGCGGCGGGUCUCACCUUCUGGCGAGCGUGGAUGCCAUUCGGUUGGUGUCCGCGGGAACCAGGACCUUUACCUUGAAAAAUUAGAGUGUUUAAAGCGGGCUUCGACGCUUGAAUACAUUAGCAUGGAAUAAUGAAAUAGGACGAGGUUCUAUCUUGUUGGUUUAGGGGCCUUCGUAAUGAUUAAUAGGGAUAGUCGGGGGCAUUCGUAUUCAAUUAUCAGAGGUGAAAUUCUUGGAUUUAUUGAAGACGAACUACUGCGAAAAGCAUUUGCCAAGGAUGUUUUCAUUAAUCAAGAACGAAAGUUGGGGGAUCGAAGACGAUCAGAUACCGUCGUA